rnacentral:rRNA from 1 species
GAUGAACGCUGGCGGCGUGCUUAACACAUGCAAGUCGAACGGAAAGGCUCCUGCUUGCAGGGGUACUCGAGUGGCGAACGGGUGAGUAACACGUGGGUGAUCUGCCCUGUACUUCGGGAUAAGCUUGGGAAACUGGGUCUAAUACCGGAUAGGACAACUUUUUGGAUAUUGUUGUGGAAAGCUUUUGCGGUAUGGGAUGAGCUCGCGGCCUAUCAGCUUGUUGGUGGGGUAAUGGCCUACCAAGGCGUCGACGGGUAGCCGGCCUGAGAGGGUGUACGGCCACAUUGGGACUGAGAUCCGGCCCAGACUCCUACGGGAGGCAGCAGUGGGGAAUAUUGCACAAUGGGUGCAAGCCUGAUGCAGCGACGCCGCGUGGGGGAUGAAGGCCUUCGGGUUGUAAACUCCUUUCGCUAGGGACGAAGCUUUUUUGUGACGGUACCUGGAGAAGAAGCACCGGCUAACUACGUG